AUCUAACAGAAAGUGACACCAAGCUCUGAGUGGGCCUGGGAUGGUGUGAGUAGCUACUGCCGAGACAGCUGAGCAAGCUCCUUGUAAGGCAAUAAGGGAGUGAACCACUUCUACCUGGAGGUGCCUGCUUCUUUCUCGGGCAUCAUGCUACUAGCCAGGCUAUGUAGUACAGGUGUGUAGGAUGACAUACAUACCCUGGAGACAGGAUUCAUGUUCUUCUAAGAGUAGAAUUUCAGGUACCUGCUUCCUCAGAAGGAUGGUCUUCCAAGCAGAUGAGCCCAGAUUCUGAAGAGGUGCAGAUGAAUGUGUCAAAGCGUGCAGCAUGAAUCUGAUGAGAAAAGAGAAAGAGAAGGAUGAGGAGAAAGACUUUCACACAUGAAACCACAGUCUUCCGGGAUGACUGAAAACGGCAAAAUGAAAGAAACAAUCCAUUCUUCAGACAGUGUCAGACUAAGAGAUAAAACAUAUCCGGAUUCAGCUGUUGCCUCUUAAAGCUUCCUGUUCCUCUCACAAAAACUACUGGAAAAGUGCUCUUCCCUUUGCAGGACCUUCUACAAACAGACUUCAGUAAUUCCAACAGCACUAACAUACUGUUGGUCUCUGCUAAAAGCCCAGUGAGAAUCAAUGCUUUUUUAUUAAAAGGUUUGUUAUGGAUUAUUUUGUCCUUGUGUAUUUCACUGGUGAGGACCAGAGUACCUCACAGAGGAUCUGAACUGACUAUCUGAGCUCUGCCAAACAGAACAGCCCUGGUUUACCUGGUCUCCCACGACAACAGAC
rnacentral:lncRNA from 1 species